CUGGCACAAAGACUCCCACCAGGCCAGCGGCCGUCCCGAGAGGAUGCAAUUCGGGGAGCCCGGGAUGCCCAGAUCCCCAGAUGGGGGAACAAAGAGAGGUUACGGCCAUGCGUUGCCCAAGGGCUUGCUGCAAGUGAGCCUUGAACCAGGACGUUGUGCUGCGAACACCGUCUCCCAAUGGCACAUUUCUCCCUCCAGCCCCCCAGCACAGCGCCAGCCUCGGUCCCCACCUCGUGCACACAUCGGAACAGCUCCCAGUGGAAAGCAGUUAGGUGGUUGGCAACGUCCUCAGGCUCCACUCGGUGGAUCUCCGUGUCUCCAGGGGAGACCUGGAUCUCCUCGGGGAGGGGCACCUGGUGGCAGGCAGGGGUAUAGGAACUGGGUUCCUGGUGGCAGGGUGAGGGAUUGCUCACAGCCCGCCUCAGCCCUCCAUUCCAGCCAAGGCCUUGGGAAGUUCUUACCAGAGCCUCAUAGCUGUCCCGAGUACAGGCAAACAGGUGGCUAUUGAUGCCCAGUGUGGUGAAAACACAGUCCUCAGUGGGCUGGAGAAGGACCUUCUCUGCAGGAGAAAGAGCUGCUCAUCCUCAGCCCCUGCUGCCUGGACCCUCACACACACCCCACACUUGGCUCUGUCCUAUCCAAAAACUCCUCACCCCACACCGACACAUUGUAGACUAUUGGAACUCAUACUAUCACCAGUUUAUGCCAUAUUUAUCUGGAAUUGGUCAAAUGAUGAUUUCUUUUACAUUUAUAACUUUUUCUACUCCCUUUCUUUCACAGCUUUUCUCUUACUCUGUUGUCCUUGUGACACUGGGAAGGCUGAAAUUUUUUUUACCGUAGAGGAAAACAAAGCUUCAGCGACAUUGCUGGCUUUCUGCCUUCCCACUCAUCCUGUGUCUUUAGCCUGAGAAAUGUGGCAUCCUUACAUACACCGGGAGGUUAAAGGACCAGAACACAAUCCAUAGGGCACUGAGCUUGUGAGUUUCUCCUCUCGGAGCAUCAGCCCAGUUCUUCCUGACCCUCACCUCCUGAGGAGGCCACAGCUACCAGGAUGAGAGAAUCCUCACGCCCCGCGGGCUCCUCUGAAUAUUGAAG